AGCAGCCGCGGUAAUUCCAGCUCCAAUAGCGUAUAUUAAAGUUGUUGCAGUUAAAAAGCUCGUAGUUGAAUUUCGGGAUCAUCAGGUUGGUCGUGCCUCUGGUAUGUACUGAUUUCGAUGGUCCCUCCUUCUUGAAGAGCCGUAAUGCCAUUAAUUUGGUGUUGCGGGGAAUCAGGACUGUUACUUUGAAAAAUUAGAGUGUUUAAAGCAGGCAAUCGCUUGAAUACAUUAGCAUGGAAUAAUGAAAUAGGACGUUCGAUCCUAUUUUGUUGGUUUCUAGGAUUGACGUAAUGAUUAAUAGGGAUAGUUGGGGGCAUUAGUAUUCAAUUGUCAGAGGUGAAAUUCUUGGAUUUAUUGAAGACUAACUACUGCGAAAGCAUUUGCCAAGGAUGUUUUCAUUAAUCAAGAACGAAAGUUAGGGGAUCGAAGACGAUCAGAUACCGUCGUAGUCUUAACCAUAAACUAUGCCGACUAGG
rnacentral:rRNA from 1 species